AUUGAACGCUGGCUGCAGGCCUAACACAUGCAAGUCGAACGAGUGGCGGACGGGUGAUUAAUGUCUGGGAAACUGCCUGAUGGAGGGGGAUAACUACUGGAAACGGUAGCUAAUACCGCAUACCAUCGGAUGUGCCCAUAUGGGAUUAGCUAGUAGGUGGGGUAACGGCUCACCUAGGCGACGAUCCCUAGCUGGUCUGGGAGGAUGACCAGGCAAACUGGAACUGAGACACGGUCCAGACUCCUGCGGUAGGCAGCAGUGGGGAAUAUUGAACAAUGGGCGUAAGCAUGAUGCAGCCAUGCCGCGUGGAUGAAGAAGGCCUUCGUGUUGUAAAGUACUUUCAGCGGGGAGGCGUUACCCGCAGAAGAAGCACCGGCUAACUCCGUGCCAGCAGCCGCGGUAAUAC
rnacentral:rRNA from 1 species